GGCACACCCGCUUGAAAGACGGGGUCGCAAAGCUUCCGGUCUAACGCUUCGGCAUUUCCCAGUGCCGCAGCCAAGAUAGCGGGGUUGCCAA
rnacentral:ncRNA from 1 species